ensembl:lncRNA
CAGCUGCCAUGUCAUGAAGAGAGGCCCACUGGUGAAGAACUGAGCCUCCAGCCAAGAGCCAUGUGAGGGCGCCAUCUUCGAACUGGAUCUUCCAGCCCCAGCCAACCUCUCGGCCACAAAUUCAUGAGACAGCCUGAACGAGAACCACCUAGGCAAGCUGCUCCCGAAGUCCUGACCCAUGGAAACUGCCAUGACACACAGACCAUAAGGUGACUCCAUCCAACUCAUGGCUGGGGGAAGCAAGCACUGCUAGCAAAGGCCACUGCUGCCCCAGGAGAGAAGUCGCCAUGUGCAGCCCACAUUUGAGGGUGGGGAUUAUGUUCCUUAAAACUCUUAGAAGAAAUAUAGGGGUAAAUCUUCGUGAACUUGGUUUUGGCAAUGGAAUCUUAGAUAUGACACUGAAAGCACAAGCAACAAAAGAAAAAACAGCUAUUACCAAGCUGCCUUCAACUGAGGAUGUAUCAGUUUAGAUCCUGCCAGAAUUUAUUUCCACACGUGCUCUGAAAUGUGCCAACAUGGACACGAACCUCACUGCAGUGUUAUUCCUAAGAGUCCCAGACUGCAAGCAAGCCAAGUGACCCUCCAUAGCAGAGAGGAUAAACAACUGAUGGUCUCAUCAUCCCACGGAAUAAUAUAAAGCCAUGAAAAAGAACAGAGUUUGGCCACCCACGCAUGGAGGAAUCUCACAGGCAUGUCGUGAGUGAAAGAAGCCAGACUUGCAACAGUACUUACUGUGGGAUUCCAGGGAGAUGAAUCAAUCACGAAGUUAAGAGGAAGAAACAAUCUAUGAUGAUAGAGAUUAAAACAGCAGUUGGCCUCGGAUGGUGGGGGUAUUGACCAGAUGGGCACGAGAGAGUCCCCUGAGGUGCUCGGAAUGUCCUAUACCUCGAUCUGGGGGAUAGUUACAUGGGCCUAUAAAUAUGUAAAAACUCGUCAAGUUAUGUGUGCUUCACUGAUGUAAGCUCUGAUAAAAAGUAAAAAGGCUAAAAAAAAAAAAAGCCAACCCUGACAUGCAAACAACAUGGCCUCGGCAGCAGGCCGUCUCCUUAGCUACGAAGGGUCACACAGACUCCCUGUCUCUCUCGUCCAGUCUUGAACCAGCUGU